rnacentral:rRNA from 1 species
ACCCGCUGAACUUAAGCAUAUCAAUAAGCGGAGGAAAAGAAACCCACAGGGAUUGCCCUAGUAACGGCGAGUGAAGCGGCAACAGCUCAAAUUUGAAAUCUGGCGUCUUUGGCGUCCGAGUUGUAAUUUGCAGAGGGCGCUUUGGCAUUGGCAGCGGUCCAAGUUCCUUGGAACAGGACGUCACAGAGGGUGAGAAUCCCGUACGUGGUCGCUAGCCUUUACCGUGUAAAGCCCCUUCGACGAGUCGAGUUGUUUGGGAAUGCAGCUCUAAAUGGGAGGUAAAUUUCUUCUAAAGCUAUAUACUGGCCAGAGACCGAUAGCGCACAAGUAGAGUGAUCGAAAGAUGAAAAGCACUUUGGAAAGAGAGUUAAAAAGCACGUGAAAUUGUUGAAAGGGAAGCGCUUGCAGCCAGACUUGCCUGUAGUUGCUCAUCCGGGUUUUUACCCGGUGCACUCUUCUAUAGGCAGGCCAGCAUCAGUUUGGGCGGUUGGAUAAAGGUCUCUGUCAUGUACCUCUCUUCGGGGAGAACUUAUAGGGGAGACGACAUGCAACCAGCCCGGACUGAGGUCCGCGCAUCUGCUAGGAUGCUGGCGUAAUGGCUGU